rnacentral:hammerhead_ribozyme from 1 species
AUUCAGAUGACGAGUCCGAAAUAGGACGAAACGCAUUUCUUGGAU